rnacentral:misc_RNA from 1 species
AGUCACAAAAUAUUGCCUUUUGUGUGAAUGGCGGUCGGCAUGGUGGUUUUUCAUUUCUCAAAUGCCACAUUCAUUCAAACCAGGCCAUUCACCAAAUCGAUUUCCCGAUCAUAUUACGAGCAAAUGAGUACAACAAAUGGACUUCGCAAAUCAGUGAAAUCGAUGUCAUCAAGGGCGAGGCAAAUGAUGGUCAUCCUCCUCGCGCUCGCCUAGCCUCGGAGGUUUGAGGUUUUAAUUGAACUGAGCAUGCGCAAAUAUGCGUUGCCAUUAAACGAUCUUCCUACGCAACGGCUGGGCAUCAAUUUUGUUACGCGAUUUUAAAGAGCGAUAAAUGAUCUCAUUAUGGACCUGAUAAUGAUCCAAAGGUGACAUCCCAGUGUGCAUACGCUUAGAAAUUAUUGAUUCAAGCAUGUCACGACCAGGUUCCAUGAGGAAGAGAAGAGGCCUUGAUGCAUCCCCUUCAUCAAACUCACCUCAAGCCGGUCUUGAGCCAUGUCAUACAUGUGGAAGAACAUUCCUGCCAGAUGUUUUGGCGAGGCAUUUACCAAUAUGUGCCAAAGUGUUCAACUCUAAAAGGAGAGUGUUUGAGUCGGGAAGACAGAGAAUAGCAGGAACUGGAAUAUCAAUCACAAAAAUUGUCAGACCAGAUAAAAUAAAGAAACAAGGGAUCAAGAAGACAAACUGGAGACAAAAUCAUGCAGAUUUUGUGAAUGCCAUUAGGUCAGCAAGACGGGCCCAGCAUGCCAUUAAUACAGGGAAGCCCCUCCCUCCUCCGCCGCCUCCAUCUAUCAAUCCAGACUACAUCCAAUGUCCUCAUUGUGGGCGUCGCUUCAACCAAACUGCGGCAGCCAGACACAUCAACUUCUGUGGCGAGAGAACCAAUACCUUUGGUUCGCCCGUCAAGCCACUCAACAAGAGAGCCGCGGCUGAUGUGCAUGGGAGUAAGGUGGCCAUAAGAAAAGCCUAUGAUAACAUUGUAGUGAGACGGAAACCUUCUACCAACCCUUAUGCCUAUGCCCAGGGCGAUGGCAAUGAUGAAGGGGUCAAGGUCUACUCUGCAGCGUUUGGGGGCAGUGGUCCUGAUCAACAAGGUAAAGCUUCAACAGUUACUGCCAGACGGAAUUCAACCUCGCCCAGAAGAAAAAUAGCUUCCCCUCGGCAAUCCUCCCGCAGGAGUUCAACAUCUCUCAUAUCAUUGUCACCAAGACAACAAUCAUCACCAAGGCAACAGCCUUCACCGCGGCAACAAACAUUGCCAAACCAACGGACUUCUCCAGGGUUCAAGCAGUUUUCCAGAGAGUCGUCAUCACUCUUGUCGCAUCCGUCCACCUCUCCUCGUUUUCAGUCAUCCUCACAGCCGUCCGCAUCUCUGUUGCCCCAGACAGCAUCCAUGAAACAUUCCCCGUUGCGGUCGUUACCUCCAGCAACACAGCAUCCGUCAUGGCAGGCACCCACGUUGCCACAAAAGCUACCAUCUCCUUCUCAAGAACUGACAACAAUACAGCCCCUGUCCUCAUCUAGCCCUCACCAGCACUCCUCACCAUCUCAGAUCAUGGGUCCUGCCCAGAUAUCCCCUCCGCCUAUUCCUCAGGCAAGCCUCAACUCAUUACCGCCAUGGCAGCAAGCCUUGAAGACCAGCAGCAGCAGGUCACCUCCAAAAGCAGCAAGACUUCCCAAUGGACACAUCAGGAGGUCAAGAUUGAUCAAGUCGGGAAAACCCAAGGGCAAUGUCAGAUUCGCUGAUAAUGUCCAAGUUAAAACAUUUGGUGAUACUUUACCGGGACCCGAUGAUGUCGGAGGGCCUGCUGACUACGAAGCACCCUCACAGUCAGUGUAUGCCUCCCACAAUGCCAUGCCAAAUAGCUUUGAUGAACAAUUACUAUCAAGACACCAGGAUCUUAUGUCAGUGUUGAAGAAGAACUAUGGGGAUGAUGUGAUGCUGGCCACACCCGGCAACCAUAUCGAGGAGAUGAUGCAGUCCAGGCAUCCAACCCAUCCCCUUCCGAACUAUGGUGGGAUGGGUCACUAUGGCAACCAAGGAGGACAUGAGGGUGGAGGAAUACCCGACCUCACACCCAUGAGCACGGGGCUACAGAGAAGCUCGGCAUUGAAUGCUUCGCCAUCGCAUCUCCCGCCAUCCUCUAUGAUGACCUCCUAUCAGGAUUCCUUUGGGAGAACGGAUCACUCGUCAUUUAAUAGCACAACUCCCUUCUCACUGAACAACCCAUCAGGACUAUCCAAUGAAGCUACCUCCAACCAUACCAGGCCUCCGCAGGGGUACGGUAGAAGGCCACGCCCGGUCGUAGGAUCCCUUCGCGGUCCAGUUCCUUCCAAGCCAUCUCCCAGUGACUUCAGUAAGCUCUCUAUCUCUGGAGGCAUGCAUGGAGGGGCAUUCUCAGGAAUGUGAUGAUGUUGAUCUGGAAGUCACGUCUAAUUGGAUGUUCCAGGUUCCACCCGACACCUACUUUAGCCGUCUCCCAGUGGAGGGCAUUCCAAGGAAUGUGACGUUGCUACUCUGGAAGCCACUAACAAGUGGAGGUUCCAGGUUCCGCCCGGCACCUACUUUAGCCGUCUCCCAGUGGAGGGCAUUCCGAGGAAUGUGACGUUGCUACUCUGGAAGCCACUAACAAGUGGAGGCUCCAGGUUCCGCCCGACACCUACUUAAGCCGUCUCCCAGUGGAGGGCAUUCCGAGGAAUGUGACGUUGCUACUCUGGAAGCCACUAACAAGUGGAGGUUCCAGGUUCCGCCCGGCACCUACUUUAGCCGUCUCCCAGUGGAGGGCAUUCCGAGGAAUGUGACGUUGCUACUUUAGAAGCCACUACCAAUUAGAGGUUCCAGGUUUCCACCAGCACCUAACAACCAUAGUCAUCAAAGGAUGUUCCCUUGAAAGUGAUCUUCAAAUUGAUGUUACUAAGAUGAAAUCCAUGCCCAAUUGGAUGCCCUAAAUCUUCUUGUUUGGCCCAAAUCUGCAGUCUACUGUAAACGCUGUUAUUUUUGCGCGAUUAGUUUUUUUCGUACUUAGCGGCUUCAAAACACAUUCGCGGGUUCUUAAAUUUGCGCUGCACACUCCAUGAUCACAAAGUCCCUUCCUUCUUGCCCAUCUGUAAAUGGUUUUAAUCAACAUUUCAGCAACAUAAUCAUAUUUUCUGAUCAUAAUUCUAGCUCUAAAGCGGCAUAAUUCAGCGUUGUUUUGAUCUAAUCAUGAGCUUUUGUGACAUUUAGCGCAACUUUUCUUUGCGGGGCGGACAUCGGGGAAGGCAAAACGGAGGUGCUAGCUGCUGGUCUGGUAUGGACGGCCGAGCACCGGGUAAGGACCGGGGGGAUUAUGGCUAUCAAAGUGCAUGGGAUCAAUCAACAAACAUGGGCGAUUGACCCAACGUCUUCUGAACAGAUCUUAACACUCACCAAUCAAACAGCAAAAGCAAUUUAUA